rnacentral:lncRNA from 1 species
UGAGCUGAAUAUGAGUUGUCCAACUCUUGUAAGUGCAUGCUCCAUCACAUCAUCCUGAGUGAGUAAAGAGGAUGCCAUUGUACUCUUCAAGCAGCCCUGGAGAGUUUAUCUCUGCAUGCUGGAGCUAAUAAUAAUAGAAUCUCAAGAGUCUUCAAACAUCCAUAUUAUGCUGAUGUCUUUUAAGGUGAUUCAACUCAGCAGAUGUUAUUUGAAGCCGUGAGACUGAGUGACAUCAUGGAGGAAGUGAAUGUAAAUAGAAAAGGGAAGAAGUCUGAAGACAGAGCCCUGAGACACUCCAUUGUAAACUGGAAGAUGAGGAAGAGCCAGCAAAGGAGACUGAGAAAGGGCAGCCAGUGAAGAUGGAGCCAGGGCUAGAGUAAGAGCCCCUCCUGGGAUGCUGUGACCCCCAAGUCUGAAGACUGCUGAUAACCCCAAUCUACAAAGACUAGCUAUAGAACUUCCUACACUGAGACAACUCCAGUGGAACUCUGAUAAUUAUCCUAAAAUAAGGAGACUUCUUCAGUAGCCCUUAAAUAUGUUCAAAUACAUGAUUACAUUUAUGUCCUUA